AGUGAACGCUGGCGGUAGGCCUAACACAUGCAAGUCGAACGGCAGCACAGUAAGAGCUUGCUCUUACGGGUGGCGAGUGGCGGACGGGUGAGGAAUACAUCGGAAUCUACUUUUUCGUGGGGGAUAACGUAGGGAAACUUACGCUAAUACCGCAUACGACCUACGGGUGAAAGCAGGGGAUCUUCGGACCUUGCGCGAUUGAAUGAGCCGAUGUCGGAUUAGCUAGUUGGCGGGGUAAAGGCCCACCAAGGCGACGAUCCGUAGCUGGUCUGAGAGGAUGAUCAGCCACACUGGAACUGAGACACGGUCCAGACUCCUACGGGAGGCAGCAGGGGGGAAUAUUGGACAAUGGGCGAAGGCCUGAUCCAGCCAUACCGCGUGGGUGAAGAAGGCCUUCGGGUUGUAAAGCCCUUUUGUUGGGAAAGAAAAGCAGCAGGUUAAUACCCCGCUGUUCUGACGGUACCCAAAGAAUAAGCACCGGCUAACUUCGUG
rnacentral:rRNA from 1 species